rnacentral:rRNA from 1 species
CCUACGGGCUGCAGCAGUGAGGAAUAUUGGUCAAUGGGCGGAAGCCUGAACCAGCCAAGUCGCGCGAGGGAAUAAGGCCCUACGGGUCGUAAACCUCUUUUGCCGGGGAGCAAGGGCCGGGACGAGUCCCGGUCCGGCGAGUACCCGGAGAAAAAGCAACGGCAAACUCCGUGCCAGCAGCCGCGGUAAUACGGGGGAUGCGAGCGUUAUCCGUAUUUAUUGGGUUUAAUGGGUGCGUAGGCGGGCUGUUAAGUCAGCGGUAAAAAUUCGGGGCGCAAACCCGUCCGGCCGUUGAAACUGGGGGCCUUGAGUGGGCGAGAAGAAGGCGGAAUGCGUGGUGUAGCGGUGAAAUGCAUAGAUAUCACGCAGAACCCCGAUUGCGAAGGCAGCCUUCCGGCGCCCUACUGACGCUGAGGCACGAAAGUGCGGGGAUCGAACAGGAUUAGAUACCCGAGUAGUC